UGGGGUAGUCGGAUAGUCGCUCUACGUGAGAGGAAAGUCCGGGCUUCACAGGGCAAGAUGCUUCCUAACAGGAAGCCCCGCACCUAUGGUGCGGGGGGAAAGUGCCACAGAAAACAUACCGCUCUGCACCAUAGGUGUGGGGUAAGGGUGAAAAGGCGAGGUAAGAGCUCACCGCCCUGAUGGCGACAUCAGGGGCUUGGCAAACCCCAUCUGAAGCAAAACCAAGUAGUUCCGGUCGAAGCGGCCCGCUUUCCCCCGCACUUUUGGUGACACAUGAGAUCGAUGGAAACGGUGCGUAUAGGAAAUGUUGAAGUCCUUCAGAGAACUGGAAGGCAGCAUUCUCGGUGAAAGCACUACAAGCGAUCUCAUAAGAAUACUUAUAAGUAAUGGCGUGAUGUAUUGUCCAACCGCAGGAUAAUCGACGAUGCAACACGACCGAGCUUGUUGUGUCACCAAAGGUGCGGGGAACGGAACGGGUAGGUUGCGCAGAGCCCAGUAGUGAUAUUGGGACAAGAGAAAUGACUAUCUAUUACAGAACCCGGCUUAUAGAUUACCCCACAUU
rnacentral:RNase_P_RNA from 2 species